GGCCUCGUAGCUCAGUUGGCUAGAGUGCUGGCUGUACUAAACCCUUCCUCUUACUGUAGUGGGUUUGAAUCCCACCGAGGCCA
rnacentral:tRNA from 1 species